CCCAGCACUGAAGUGCUGGGUUAGUGUCUGUCGUCCCUAUCGGGACU
rfam:Pirellula sp. SH-Sr6A, complete genome.